rnacentral:rRNA from 1 species
GCUAGGAUGAACGCUAGCGACAGGCUUAACACAUGCAAGUCGAGGGGCAGCAUAAAAGUAGCAAUACUUGGUGGCGACCGGCGCACGGGUGAGUAACGCGUAUGCAACCUACCUAUCAGAGGGGAAUAACCCGGCGAAAGUCGGACUAAUACCGCAUAAAACAGGGGCACCGCAUGGUGAUAUUUGUUAAAGAGAUUCGCUGAUAGAUGGGCAUGCGUUCCAUUAGGUAGUUGGUGAGGUAACGGCUCACCAAGCCGACGAUGGAUAGGGGAACUGAGAGGUUGGUCCCCCACACUGGUACUGAGACACGGACCAGACUCCUACGGGAGGCAGCAGUGGGGAAUAUUGGUCAAUGGGCGGGAGCCUGAACCAGCCAAGUCGCCGUGAAGGAAGAAGGAUCUAUGGUUCGUAAACUUCUUUUGCAGGGGAAUAAAGUGCAGGACGUGUCCUGUUUUGUAUGUACCCUGAGAAUAAGGAUCGGCUAACUCCGUGCCAGCAGCCGC